GUGCUUGCUUGGCAGUGCAUAAAACUAAAUUGGAAUGGCAUAGAGAGAUUAGCAUAUCCCUGGUGCAAGAAUGACACACAAAUGCAGGAAGAUUUCCACUUAAAA